rnacentral:rRNA from 1 species
UACGUAGGGGGCGAGCGUUGUCCGGAUUUAUUGGGCGUAAAGAGCGUGUAGGCGGCCAGGUAGGUCUGCUGUGAAAACUCGAGGCUCAACCUCGAGACGUCGGCGGAAACCAUCUGGCUAGAGUCCGGAAGAGGAGAGUGGAAUUCCUGGUGUAGCGGUGAAAUGCGCAGAUAUCAGGAAGAACACCCGUGGCGAAGGCGGCUCUCUGGGACGGUACUGACGCUGAGACGCGAAAGCGUGGGGAGCGUACAGG